AAUUGAGAAACACGUUUAGUUUCGACCUAAAUUAAGUAAUAAUUCUUACCUCAAUUA
rnacentral:tRNA from 1 species